rnacentral:misc_RNA from 1 species
GGUGAGCCUCUUUCUCAAACUGCACAGUCAUUUAUGCCUGAGUUGAUAUACGGUGUCAAUCGAAGUUUGGCAAAGGCUCGGACGUUACUAAAGUCACUAGUGAUGGUUGGAGCUACACUUGGAUUGGUUUUAGGUGUGAUUGGAACAUGUGUUCCUUGGUUGUACCCAAAUCUCUUUACACCUGAUCAAAAUGUUGUACGGGAGAUGCACAAAGUGCUUUUACCAUACUUCAAGGCUAUGAGUGCUAGAUGUAAUA